AAUGAACGCUGGCGGCGGGCCUAACACAUGCAAGUCGAGCGAGCGGAGGACGGGUGAGUAAUGUCUGGGAAACUGCCUGAUGGAGGGGGAUAACUACUGGAAACGGUAGCUAAUACCGCAUACCAUCAGAUUUGACAAGAGGGGAGUAGCUAGUAGGUGGGGUAAUGGCUCACCUAGGCGACGAUCCCGAGCUGGUCUGAGAGGAUGACCAGCCACACUGGAACGGAGACACGGUCCAGACUCCUACGGGAGGCAGCAGUGGGGAAUAUUGCACAAUGGGCGCAAGCCUGAUGCAGCCAUGCCGCGUGUGUGAAGAAGGCCUUCGGGUUGUAAAGCACUUUCAGCGGGGAGGCGUUACCCGCAGAAGAAGCACCGGCUAACUCCGUGCCAGCCGCCGCGGUAAUAC
rnacentral:rRNA from 1 species